ACGGCGAGUGAAGCGGCAACAGCUCAAAUUUGAAAUCUGGCUUCGGCCCGAGUUGUAAUUUGCAGAGGAUGCUUUUGGUGCGGUGCCUUCCGAGUUCCCUGGAACGGGACGCCACAGAGGGUGAGAGCCCCGUAUGGUCGGACACCAAUCCUGUGUAAAGCUCCUUCGACGAGUCGAGUAGUUUGGGAAUGCUGCUCUAAAUGGGAGGUAAAUCUCUUCUAAAGCUAAAUACCGGCCAGAGACCGAUAGCGCACAAGUAGAGUGAUCGAAAGAUGAAAAGCACCUUGAAAAGGGGGUUAAACAGUACGUGAAAUUGUUGAAAGGGAAGCACUUGUGACCAGACUUGGGCCGGGCGGCUCAUCAGGGGUUCUCCCCUGUGCAUUCCGCCCGGUACAGGCCAGCAUCGGUUCUUACCGGGGGAUAAGAACGGCAGGAACGUGGCUCCCUCUCGGGGGAGUGUUAUAGCCUGCCGUACGAUACCCUGGCGGGGACCGAGGUUCGCGCUUCCGCAAGGAUGCUGGCGUAAUGGUUACUAGUGACCCGUCUUGAAACACGGACCAAGGAGUCGUCCAUUAGAGCGAGCGUUUGGGUGUAAAACCCGCACGCGUAAUGAAAGUGAAAUUAGGUGAGAGCUUCGGCGCAUCAUCGACCGAUCCUGAUGUUCUCGGAUGGAUUUGAGUAAGAGUUUUAACGGACGGACCCGAAAGACAGUGAACUAUGCUUGUAUAGGGUGAAGCCAGAGGAAACUCUGGUGGA
rnacentral:rRNA from 1 species